rnacentral:rRNA from 1 species
GACGAACGCUGGCGGCGUGCUUAACACAUGCAAGUCGUACGGUAAGGCCCUUUCGGGGGUACACGAGUGGCGCACGGGUGAGUAACACGUGAGUAACCUGCCCACAACUUUGGGAUAACGCUAGGAAACUGGUGCUAAUACUGGAUAUGUGCUCCUGCUGCAUGGUGGGGGUUGGAAAGCUCCGGCGGUUGUGGAUGGACUCGCGGCCUAUCAGCUUGUUGGGUGGGUAGUGGCCUACCAAGGCGGCGACGGGUAGCCGGCCUGAGAGGGUGACCGGCCACAUUGGGACUGAGAUACGGCCCAGACUCCUACGGGAGGCAGCAGUGGGGAAUAUUGCACAAUGGGCGCAAGCCUGAUGCAGCAACGCCGCGUGCGGGAUGACGGCCUUCGGGUUGUAAACCGCUUUCAGCAGGGACGAAGCUUUUUGUGACGGUACCUGCAGAAGAAGCACCGGCUAACUACGUG